UACAGAGGUCUCAAGCCGUUGUUCGGAUUCAUUGGGCGUAAAGGGCGCGUAGGCGGCUUGGCAAGUGGAUGGUGAAAUCCCUCGGCUUAACCGAGGAACUGCCCUCCAAACUGUUGGCUUGAGACCGGGAGAGGUGAGUGGAAUUCCCAGUGUAGCGGUGAAAUGCGUAGAUAUUGGGAGGAACACCAGUGGCGAAGGCGGCUCACUGGACCGGAACUGACGCUGAGGCGCGAAAGCGUGGGGAGCAACGGG
rnacentral:rRNA from 1 species